rnacentral:rRNA from 1 species
CCCGGACCUUGUACACACCGCCCGUCAAGCCAUGGAAGCCGGAUGUACCUGAAGAUGUUAGCCGCAAGGAGAUGUCAAGGGUAAAAUCUGUAACUGGGGCU